rnacentral:rRNA from 1 species
UACGUAGGUGGCAAGCGUUGUCCGGAAUUAUUGGGCGUAAAGCGCGCGCAGGUGGUUCCUUAAGUCUGAUGUGAAAGUCCACGGCUCAACCGUGGAGGGUCAUUGGAAACUGGGGAACUUGAGUGCAGAAGAGGAAAGUGGAAUUCCAAGUGUAGCGGUGAAAUGCGUAGAGAUUUGGAGGAACACCAGUGGCGAAGGCGACUUUCUGGUCUGUAACUGACACUGAGGCGCGAAAGCGUGGGGAGCGAACAGG